rnacentral:misc_RNA from 1 species
ACCAAAAUGUCGAUGGUGACAUUGUUAGUGUAGUGCCUACACAAAUUGUCUUGUUUAAUAGUUUAAAGAUGUGCCUUAGAGCGCUUAAGUUUGAUUGCAAAAUCAAACUUAAGUGCUUUCUUUGAAAGCACUAUGUUCUUUAACAAUUUGGAAAGCUGAUAUUUAAUUAGUAAAUCAAUCAAAAUUUGAGUAAUUGAGAAGUCGAAAGACGUACUACUACUCUACUUGACUUGAAUUGCUUGUUAUCAAUCUUUAUUUGAUAGCAAGGCAAUUUCCGAUUAGCUUGUCAUGCAUACAA